rnacentral:rRNA from 1 species
UUGAAAGGGAAACGAUUGAAGUCAGUCAUGCUGGCGGGAAUCAACUUAGGGGAAACUCUGAGUGCACUUCUUCGCUUGGCAGGUUAGCGUCGAUUUUGGAUGUCAUAAAAUGACUAGGGGAAGGUAGCUCUUUCGGGAGUGUUAAGCCCUCAGUAUAUGUGAUGUCUAGGAUCGAGGAUUGCAACGGAUACCUUUUGGGCUAGCCGUCUAGUCUCUAAUACGAAGUUGGGUUAUGGACAGCAUGCUGACUGUGAUCUGAUUUUCGGUUAAAAGAUUAGAGCAAGUGUAAAUUCGUUAAGGAUGUUGACGUA